rnacentral:tRNA from 1 species
GCCCGGGUGACUUAGUGGGUUAAGCAUCUGACUUCAACUCAGGUCAUGAUCUCACAGUUUGUAAGUUUGAGUCCCCGGGCU